rnacentral:misc_RNA from 1 species
GGAAGUAAAAGUCGUAACAUGGUCUCCGUUGGUGAACCAGCGGAGGGAUCAUUACAGGACUCGCAAGACUCCUUACACCCUGUGAACCUUACUGUAUACGCGUUGCUUCGGCGGGUCCGCCCGCCGGCAGCAUACCACAUUCUGUUUCUCUGCGUUGGCAUCUCGAGAAAAAAGCAAAUAAGUUAAAACUUUCAACAACGGAUCUCUUGGUUCUG